AAAUGAAGUGGCCGAGACGUGCUGUACCUGGUGGACCUCAGCAGGCGGGAGCAGAGGUACCCUCGUCCCUGCGCUGGGAUGCAGGGCUCGUGCUGGCGCAUUGACAUCGCCAGACCCCGCUGCCGUCCUCCAGGCUCAGGCCCAGAGGAAGAUGACUUGGGAAGAUUCCACUUUAGCCGGAUGCAGGGGCUCUUUCUGGUGUUGCUUCUGGAGCGUGUUCAUGGGAGACCCUGGAUCCAUCUGCCAUGGACCUUCUGCCAGCCGGUGCUGGCUGGAUGUUGACACCAACAUGACCCUCAUGGUGACCAAGGAGAUGGUGCAGCACUGGCCCUGAAGAGAGACCAGCCAUGAGCUCCUCUGCUCCCCAGGAGUUUCAUCCCCGAAUGGUGCCCGGGGUGGGCACGCGGAGGCUGGAGGCUCUCCGGGGAUUCCUGUGACCGCAGCUGAUGCAAAGCUGGCACAAUUUUUAAGGGAUUUCUGCUAGAGAUGAGCAAAAAGACGUGGGUUUUAGGGGUCGCUGAUCGCCUGGGGCUGCGAGUUACCAUCACCAGACCAGCUCUGCUCAUCUCCUUUCCCACCGCGGAGACAAUCGCUUUGGUUAGGCGGAAAGGGACGGCGUUCUCUCAACACAAAAAUGAGAUGCUAUUGAAGGAAACGACUGGGAAGAAACGUGGAAACGGUAAGCUGUAUUUUUCCAGAGAGCGGGCACACCGCGUCGGCGCCACGUGCUUCGUCUGCUGCUCCGUCCCCACCUCCCAAAUGGAGCUAUUCUCUUUCAGUGGUUAGAGAAAUAAUAAAGAAUAAUGAGAAUGAGGGAUUUCUAUGCAAAUAAGUUUGCAUCUACAUCCAAGAAUUUAAAGGGAAUGCAUCUGUCUUGAAUUCUACAUGAAUAUAUGAGAGACCUGGUAAGGUAGAAGAUCCAGUCAAGCAAACAGCGAUGCUAACUAUCAACCCCCAAAGUGUCUGAUGCUCAUGUUCUCGGUUACCGAUGAUCUGUUAAAAAUGACCUUUUUUGCCAAGAUUUAAUUUUCCACCUCAGCAUACUCCCUUGAAGAGCCUUGCAAAAUUUGUGCUGUGCCUAUAAGGAAGAUUCUUAUGAGAGUCAAGCCAGUUCCAAGCCGACAUAGAGACACUCAUCCACUAAAUAACCUAAGAAGAAAGUAAGUUGUUUUUUCCUUUUACCUGGAGUGAACAAGCACAUGCUCGAGUAUUUGACUCGAUCAAGGUGUGACUGAUUGCAGCAUC